rnacentral:rRNA from 1 species
AACGAACGCUGGCGGCAGGCCUAACACAUGCAAGUCGAACGCAUCGCAAGAUGAGUGGCGCACGGGUGAGUAACACGUGGGAAUGUAUCCUUUGGUUCGGAAUAACGUCUGGAAACGGACGCUAAUACCGGAUGAGCCCUUAGGGGGAAAGAUUUAUCGCCGAAGGAGCAGCCCGCGUCUGAUUAGGUAGUUGGUGGGGUAAAGGCCUACCAAGCCGACGAUCAGUAGCUGGUCUGAGAGGAUGAUCAGCCACACUGGGACUGAGACACGGCCCAGACUCCUACGGGAGGCAGCAGUGGGGAAUAUUGGACAAUGGGCGCAAGCCUGAUCCAGCCAUGCCGCGUGAGUGAUGAAGGCCUUCGGGUUGUAAAGCUCUUUCGCACACGACGAUGAUGACGGUAGUGUGAGAAGAAGCCCCGGCUAACUUCGUGCCAGCCGCCGCAGUAAAAC